AUUCUAUGUGUACAUUUUUCCUUUCCUACAGUCAACGGACUCACUCUUCUGUCUCUCUCUCUCUCUCUCUCUCAGUUACAGUCAACGAGAUUCCAUUUGUGACGUCUCCAUUUUCGCCAUAUUUACAUUGUUUGUAAAAUUUCGUUUUUCAGGAUACUCCUGUCGAUUAUGUGGGCGCGGAUACAAGAGAAAACAAGGUUUAUCGCAACACUUGAGAUAUGAAUGUCAUCAAGAACCAAGGUUUUCAUGUCCUUUCUGCGAUUAUAAAGCCAAACUGAAGUGUAAUUUGACCAAACAUCUUACGAUAAAGCAUGGAAACAAAGGAAGCAUUGGAAAAUCUACUCGAUGAGAAUUAUCAGAUCUGUAACAAAAUAUAGAUUCACGACUCAUUAUAUAUGUAUCAUAUUCGUAAUAUUAUAUCAAAAUACUCUGAAGAAAUUAUUCAUCUGGACGAAACGUUUGGUAUUACAAGUUCCAUUUGACCACAGCCUAUCAGCCCGAAUUUUGUUUUAUCUCUUUCUGUUGGGAUAUUUUUUUGUGGAAAAUGUGGCAAACAAUUCAAAACCAAAAGAACACUGCGACAGCAUGACAGGUUCUAUUGUGACACCCAACCAUCUUACGAAUGCCCGCAAUGCCCAUACAAGGCUCAAACUUCAGGGAACCUCAGAAGACAUCAGUUUUUGCUUUCGCAUACGAAUAAAAAAAAGAAGUCAAGACUAACUCUUUAGUUUCUCAUCAUUUCUUUCGUUAUCUAAUUACAUGGUUUGAAAUAUUGAAUUUUUUUUUUUAGGUACAGAUCUUUGAUAAUUGCUUAUUUAAUUUUGUUUUCCAUUCGUAACAAGUUACUUUGUUUCGACAAAUAAAAUAGUGUUUCAUGAUUUGCA